CUAGCUGCUAGCUACAGCUACUAAAAACUAACUACCAACUGCUCAAAGCCUUCGUGAGACUUAACACUCUGGCUCCAGCGAAUUAUUCAUUAAGUUAUAGCGGCUUAGUUUGAGCUGCUACUGCUGCUAACCGGCAUCACACAAAGCCGAUGGAAAAUUUUCGGGCUCCGUACCCGAGGACUGUAAUGCAUUCAAAUGCCUCACAUUUUCUACAACAAGGAGGCACGGAAUCAACACAAGUUCAAGAGGUUACACCGUCACGAAUGGCUUGCUAUUGUACUUGUAUGGCUUAAAAAACGCGAUCGGCGGAAACGCUCGGCCAGUUGGAACGGCAACCCGUGGGAUAGGACUUGACUCGGUUGCUGUACUGGUGGUAUGGCGAGCGGUGGAUGAAACCAACGCCUGGGACGGAAUCACGACGACGACCACGACGCCUGGGAACUGGAAUUUCUUAACUUCUUCCGACAAUACUUGUGUUGCUUUGUACAUACAUAUAUUUAUAUAUUGUAUAUGCAUUUACAUCUACAUCUGCACAUCCAGACACCGUGUAAGAAUGUGUUGUAAGAAAGACCUCAAGACUUUAAGAAGGGCUACAGCUCCGUUACAAGAUUUUAUUGUUGCGCGGUGUGGACUUGGGACCCGCAUACUGUUGUGCGGGUGUUAACCGGGCUCGGUUCUGUUCAGAGAACCCGAAAGAAUGGAAUAGAGUUAAGGUCUACCCGGAAACCAGCGAGUCUAAAGGAAAUACAAGCUUAAAUUGUUCAUGUACCUGCGAACAUAGUCCACAAGAGUAAUUACUUUGCUGAGUUAGUGCCAGUACUUGCCAUUAAAUAAAUACCGUCAAUGUCCACACAUGCUGGAGUUGUCUAAUGCCUGAACUGCUCGAGUUGUCUCUGCCCCUUUGGAAGCUAACAAAACAAAGAGAAAAUAUCGGCAUGGACUUGAAUGAAGGUUAUUGUGCAACACAAUCGCAAUAGACUUCCCAGAACGGUGGACAAUUAAAAUUAUUAUAACUGAGCAAAGACCGUGAGCGAAUAAAAUGCGAACGUUGUGAUAUAUAUGUAUAUAUAUACCUUUGGUCUGUCGCUGUAUCGUGUCGUUACUGCAUUAUUGCCUGACGUCCGCGUACAACAAGAGAAGGCCAUCGGUUAUAGAGUUAGCUUAUAAAACUCGCAAUCACUCGCGGCUUGACCUCGCGCGAGAUAGCCAGAUAUAAUAAUUGAUUACUAAUGUAAUAUCUAAUGUAUGUAAUAUAUAACGGCGACAAGUCGAUUGAUAAUA